GAUGAAGAACGUAGCGAAAUGCGAUAAGGAAUGCGAAUUGCAGAAUUCAGUGAGUCAUCGAAUCUUUGAACGCACAUUGCGCCCUGUGGUAUUCCGCAGGGCAUGCCUGUUCGAGCGUCAUUUCAACCCUCAAGCUCUGCUUGGUGUUGGGCCCUGCCCGCUGCGGCCGGCCCUAAAGACAGUGGCGGUGCCGCCUGGCCCUGAGCGUAGUACAUCUCUCGCUCCAGUGCCCGGUGGUAGCCUGCCAGAACCCCAACUCUCGUGGUUGACCUCGGAUCAGGUAGGGAUACCCGCUGAAAUUAAGCAUAUCAAUAAGCGGAGGA
rnacentral:misc_RNA from 1 species